CCUACGGGAGGCAGCAGUAGGGAAUAUUGGGCAAUGGAGGCGACUCUGACCCAGCCAUGCCGCGUGGAGGAUGACGGCGCUCAGCGUUGUAAACUCCUUUUACUCAUGAAGAACUGGGGGGGUGCGCCCUUCUUUGACGGUAGUGAGGGAAUCAGCACCGGCUAACUCCGUGCUAGCAGCCGCGGUAAUACGGAGGGUGCAAGCGUUGUCCGGAUUUAUUGGGUUUAAAGGGUGCAUAGGUGGUCAAGUAAGUCUGAUUUGAAAGCCGGCGGCUUAACCGUCGGAUGUGGUUGGAAACUGCGUGACUUGAAUGGGUUGGCGGGAGCCGGAACGGGUCAUGUAGCGGUGAAAUGCAUAGAUAUGACCCAGAACACCGAUUGCGAAGGCAGGCUCCUACGACUUGAUUGACACUGAGGCACGAGAGCAUGGGUAGCGAACAGGAUUAGAUACCCUGGUAGUCCAUGCCGUAAACGAUGAUUACUGGCUGUCUGCGUGAAGACGUGGGUGGCUGAGCGAAAGCGUUAAGUAAUCCACCUGGGGAGUACGCUGGCAACAGUGAAACUCAAAUGAAUUGACGG
rnacentral:rRNA from 1 species